ACGGAGGGAUUGACCUCACCAUCAUGCGAUGUGAAGUAAGCAGAGAUGUAACGGGACACACAUCAGACCAUUCAACACAGACUGGAACUCGUGUAAACUUAUUUCUGCUGAGGAUCAUUUCUGUCGUGUGCAGAUAAAUCUUCGCAAAUUUUCAUUGUUUGUAAACCUAUGUGAUGUAAAUAAAUGUUAAAGUGUAAAUUAUCUAAAAACAGAAGUGUGUUUGCGGAAGUGAAAAUGUUCGAGACUAAAGGAGUUUUCUGCAUUUGUUUGGAUGUUUUCUGUCUGAUCAUGGCUGGACUUCCAUUUGCAGUCUUGAAUAUUCAGCACAAACCAUUCAAAAGAGGAUUUUUUUGCAGCGAUUACAGCCUCAAAUAUCCUUUUAAAGAUGACACGAUAUCUUACCAGUUACUGAUGGGAAUAAUGAUACCGUUCUCACUCUUUAUAAUAAUCUUCUGUGAGUGUUUCUCUGUGUAUCUGCGCUCCAGAGCAUCUUUCACUUACGAGUAUGUAGUCUGUGUGUACAAGAGCGUCGGUUCAUUUGUGUUUGGAGCAGCAUUAAGUCAGUCACUGACAGACAUCGCCAAAUACUCCGUCGGUCGACUGCGGCCACAUUUCCUGACUGUGUGUAAACCCGACUGGAACCUCAUUGACUGUAAAUCAGGUUAUAUUGAGAACUUCACAUGUACAGGAGACUCAACUCUCACCAAUGAGGGCAGGUUGUCCUUUUAUUCUGGGCACUCAUCAUUUUCUAUGUACUGUAUGCUGUUUCUUGCUCUGUAUCUUCAGUCUAGACUGACGUCUGGAUGGUCUCGGCUGGUGCGUCCCACUCUUCAGUUCUUCUUCAUCGCCACAGCUCUGUAUGUAGGUCUGUCACGUGUAUCUGAUUAUAAACACCACUGGAGUGAUGUUCUUACUGGACUCAUAGAGGGAGCUAUUGUUGCUUUAAUUACGGUCUUUUAUGUAUCAGACCUAUUCAAAACUCAGUCCAAGUCAGAUCAAAAUGAGGAACUCUCUCACACAAGUCUUCAGGAAAACUCUGAUCUGACAAACAACUACGGCGCUUCCCAAUGAGGUGACAGAGAGAGACAAACAUACUGUACAUUGAACUCUAUCAUUGUAUUAUAUUACAUACUGUAUCAAACUAAACAUGUGCAGGUCUUCAGUUAUUAUAAAACCAUUCCAGCUUUUGUUUUUACAUUUUACUUUAUUGCAUUUUCCAGACGCUUUUCUCCAAAGGUCGCUUUUUAUCAAAAGGUUCACAGUUUUAAUCAGUAUUUGUGUUCCCUGGGUUUAAACCCAUGACCUUGUGGUGCUGCACACGCAAUGCCAUACAGGAACAUCUUACAGCAACCAUAAAAAUGACUUCCAUGGCUAAACUUUAACUUAGUUUUCAUUGUUAUUUUACGUUUUCAUAACAAACGCAUACGGCAAAAAAUAUAUUUUCAAAUAUCAUUUAAAAUAUAUUUCAAAAUAUAUAAAAAAUGGCCAAAAUAUAUGUACUGAAAUAUAUUCCAAAAUAUGUUAAGAAAAAUUAUUUUAACCAAUCUAUUUUUUGUAUCUUUUGAAAUAUUUGUAAAAAAUAUAUAAAGAGUUUGAUUCCAAAACGCAAUAAAUCCACUUUGACUAAUUUGGGUAAAAAUGUAUUUUCUAUAUCAAGAAAGUGACAAGAUGAAAACCACUAUUUUCUGUUUACAAACUUACACAUAGCAUCUUUAGGUUAUAAUAACAUAAAAAAUUAAAAUCAAUAAUUUGAUAUAUACUUUAUAUAUUUUAUACUUUAUAUUUUGGCCAAGAAAAAUAUAUUUUGCUGUAUGGAUUGUAAAAUUAUAAAUGUAUUUGUUGCCCCUGAAAUAUAUUUUGAAAUAUAUGUAAAUAUAUGAAGGUUAAAACUAAAUAUAUUUUCAAAUGUAAAAUAUAUAUGUAUUGUUUUGCUGAAUGGGAAGGAACACAAUGGUCUUUAUGUUGAGGUCUUUUACAUUCAUAUAGCACAGGCUGUAUAAUAUAGAGGCUUAUGGUCCAUUACAGCAAAUUAUAAUUCAUGUUGUGUACAAAAUGUAUAUUUAAGUCAGUUUAUUUGUUUUUAAUGGUGCUCUCACAAGUUUUUGAUACUGCUGUACUUUUUUAAAAGCACUAUAAUGUAUGUCAUUUUAUAUUUUGUGGAAUGAUUUUUGUGUACAGUAACAGUCUGAAUGAACAGAAGUCGUCAACCAUUAAAAAUCACCAGAUUUUAAGUUCAAAUGUCUUUAUAUUUAAUACUAGCACAUAAAGGUCAGAGAGCUGAGCAGCAUCAAUGCAGAGUUGAAUGAGAGCAGCGCCUCUGCUGGCCGGAGGACGACAUCGCAUCUACUGCUGCUACAGAUUCAGGAAUUUCGUUCAUGUCAGUGACUCGGUUCGUUCGGUCAAUUAGAUUCACACAGGCCAGUUGAAUUAAAAGUCAGUGCGAGGGAUUUUACUUUUCACUUUUGUAGUAGAAUAAAUUAACACUUAAAUGCGGUUGUUUAUUAAUAUCUAUCAUUGCGUGUAAAGAGUAUGAUUAUAAAUGUUAUCUGUUGUGACGUGUUGUCAAUGAACUUCCAAGUUCACGUCACGCAGUUCAAAAGUGAAUCGUUUAGAGGAGUCGGUUCAUCAGAACCCGUUGUUGGUGAACCGAACAUCAGAAGCGCUCGUCUUUGUCCUCGCGGUGACUGAAUGCAUAUGAUCCCGCUGAAUGUACAUUAUUUAUUCACUCGUUUAUAAUCUGUAUUCAUCAAACAGAAGAUCUGAAGGAUGGUGUUAGUUCAUGUUGGAUAUUUGGUUCUUCCCGUCUUUGGCUCAGUAAGAAACAGAGUCUAUGGAGGCUGAAUCUACAUUAUCUGCAUUAUCAGCCCAUUGUGUUUUAAUGAUCAUCUGUGUUCUGAUCCCUCAUUUCCUCUUUCCAUCAGAAGACGACAAACAUCUCAGAUCUCCUCCUCUCCUGAGAGAAAUUAAAACAUAAAGAGCUUAACUAUAUGUGUCUAAUAUAUGUCAACUGCUGUAGUUUAACUCACAUCAGUAGCUGUAGAAAUGUUUGUCCCAUUCAGCUUUGGUAGUCAACAUGUCUGUAAGUUCCUGUAAAAUGGAUGCAUUUUGUGCUUGGAAACCCUACGGAAAAAUCCAGUUUAGACCAGCAUAAGCUGGUAGCUGGUUUAAGGUGGUCCUCCAGCUUAAAAAGUGACCAAAACACAGCUAGACCAUCUUAAGCUGGUCUUAGCUGGGUUUUUCAGUAGGGUAAUCACCGAUCCCAUGUUUUUAGUUCCCUGUGUAUUGAAAACCUUUAGCUGUCACCUGCAUAACUGUGCUUCAUUCAUUGCCUUUGCCCUUCUGAUUUGAUUUCCACACAAGUCAUUCAUGUUUAUUAGAGAAAAAACAACAGACGGACAUUAACCUGUGACGUUGCAAAGUAAUAAAAGCAACUUUGAAUUAGCUCGUCGAUCCAUGUAUUAGUUGCCUAAAUUGACGUGGCACAACUUCCAAAAUGCGAUCCAUUUGGCAGGGAUGUUGAUUUCCUGCACUGCUAUACUCUUACUAGAGCUGAAAUGUCUAUUGUUUGGUUGUGGUUUCUCUACCUUUUUGUUCUUGUAAUAGACUUCAGUGCAUGAAUCACGUUAUUAUUCAUAUUAUUAUCAUUUGUUUGAUAUUCUACAUUGAAUAGACUCCAAUGUAAUCUUUCUGUAGUAAAGAUGUACCCUGCUGUACUGUAAUGUGCUGUAGUCAAUGCAUCGGCUCAUUGAAUGUGGCUUUUGUUCUGUUAACCCUGUACUGAGCAUGGUGGGCCUUGCUAUUGAUCAAUGUUGUUUUAUUUGUUGCAUGGACUUAUUAUGACACAAAUCCACAUAUACUAAUAUUUUUCAAUAAAGAUGAUAGUGUUUUUCCUAA